rnacentral:rRNA from 1 species
GGGUUGCGGACAGUGUCUGGUGGGUAGUUUGACUGGGGCGGUCUCCUCCUAAAGAGUAACGGAGGAGCACGAAGGUUGGCUAAUCCUGGUCGGACAUCAGGAGGUUAGUGCAAUGGCAUAAGCCAGCUUGACUGCGAGCGUGACGGCGCGAGCAGGUGCGAAAGCAGGUCAUAGUGAUCCGGUGGUUCUGAAUGGAAGGGCCAUCGCUCAACGGAUAAAAGGUACUCCGGGGAUAACAGGCUGAUACCGCCCAAGAGUUCAUAUCGACGGCGGUGUUUGGCACCUCGAUGUCGGCUCAUCACAUCCUGGGGCUGAAGUAGGUCCCAAGGGUAUGGCUGUUCGCCAUUUAAAGUGGUACGCGAGCUGGGUUUAGAACGUCGUGAGACAGUUCGGUCCCUAUCUGCCGUGGGCGCUGGAGAACUGAGGGGGGCUGCUCCUAGUACGAGAGGACCGGAGUGGACGCAUCACUGGUGUUCGGGUUGUCAUGCCAAUGGCACUGCCCGGUAGCUAAAUGCGGAAGAGAUAAGUGCUGAAAGCAUCUAAGCACGAAACUUGCCCCGAGAUGAGUU